rnacentral:tRNA from 1 species
UCCAGGGUAGCCUAGUGGACAUGGCAUCUGCCCGGUGAGCGGAACACUGUUGGGUUCGAUUUCCAUCCCUGGUAA